GCCCAUCUAGCUCACUUGGUGGAGCAUAAGGCUUCUAACCUUGUGAUCGUGAGUUCAAGCCUCAUAGUUUGCA
rnacentral:tRNA from 1 species